CAGCCGCCGCGGGAAUACGUAGGGUGCAAGCGUUAAUCGGAAUUACUGGGCGUAAAGCGUGCGCAGGCGGUUUUGUAAGACAGAGGUGAAAUCCCCGGGCUCAACCUGGGAACUGCCUUUGUGACUGCAAGGCUAGAGUACGGCAGAGGGGGAUGGAAUUCCGCGUGUAGCAGUGAAAUGCGUAGAUAUGCGGAGGAACACCGAUGGCGAAGGCAAUCACCUGGGCCUGUACUGACGCUCAUGCACGAAAGCGUGGGGAGCAAACAGGAUUAGAUACCCCUGUAGUCCCUGUCUCUUAUAA
rnacentral:rRNA from 1 species